rnacentral:rRNA from 1 species
AUACGUAGGGGGCGAGCGUUAUCCGGAUUUAUUGGGCGUAAAGCGUGCGUUAGGCGGUCUAUUAAGUCUAAGAUCAAAGUCCGAGGCUCAACCUCGGUUCGUCUUAGAUACUGGUAGACUUGAGUGUGGUAGAGGCAAGUGGAAUUUCUAGUGUAGCGGUUAAAUGCGUAGAUAUUAGAAGGAACACCAGUGGCGAAGGCGGCUUGCUGGGCCAUUACUGACGCUGAGACACGAAAGCGUGGGGAGC